rnacentral:misc_RNA from 1 species
GAUGAAGAACGCAGCGAAAUGCGAUAAGUAAUGUGAAUUGCAGAAUUCAGUGAAUCAUCGAAUCUUUGAACGCACAUUGCGCCCGCCAGUAUUCUGGCGGGCAUGCCUGUUCGAGCGUCAUUACAACCCUCAGGCCCCCGGGCCUGGCGUUGGGGAUCGGCGGAGCCCCCCGUGGGCACACGCCGUCCCCCAAAUACAGUGGCGGUCCCGCCGCAGCUUCCAUCGCGUAGUAGCUAACACCUCGCGACUGGAGAGCGGGGCGGCCACGCCGUAAAACACCCAACUCUUCUGAAGUUGACCUCGAAUCAGGUAGGAAUACCCGCUGAACUUAAGCAUAUCAAUAAGCGGAGGA